GGAGUUAGCCGGUGCUUCUUCUGCGAGUAACGUCACAGAUGUAAGGUAUUAACUUACACCCUUUCCUCCUCGCUGAAAGUGCUUUACAACCCGAAGGCCUUCUUCACACACGCGGCAUGGCUGCAUCAGGGUUUCCCCCAUUGUGCAAUAUUCCCCACUGCUGCCUCCCGUAGGAGUCUGGGCCGUGUCUCAGUCCCAGUGUGGCUGAUCAUCCUCUCAGACCAGCUAGGGAUCGUCGCCUAGGUGAGCCUUUACCUCACCUACUAGCUAAUCCCACCUGGGCUUAUCCAUCAGCGCAAGGCCCGAAGGUCCCCUGCUUUCCCCCGUAGGGCGUAUGCGGUAUUAGCAGUCGUUUCCAACUGUUAUCCCCCACAAAUGGGCAAAUUCCCAGGCAUUACUCACCCGUCCGCCGCUCGUUACACUUCUAAACGAACGAACGACGUUUUCGUUUAAAGUAAGUUUACCGGUUACCGUCCGUACCGUUACGUUCGACUAGUUGUUUAGGGUUACCGUCGUCCGCCCGACGACGUUCCGUAACUACUUCGAACCGAAACCGAAGUACUAAACCUAACCUUCGACGUACGUAGGACGGGGCGGUCGGUCGGAACGGACGGCCGACUAAGUAG
rnacentral:rRNA from 1 species